GUCGAGCGAGGUUACUGUUUCGGAUCCCUUCGGGGUGAAGAAGCUUUAACCUAGCGGCGGACGGGUGAGUAACGCGUGGGUAACCUACCCCAAAGUCCGGGAUAACAGCGGGAAACCGCUGCUAAUACCGGAUGCCUUUACCUUGGGGCAUCUUGAGGUAAAGAAAGGCAACGCUUUGGGAUGGGCCCGCGUCCCAUUAGCUAGUUGGUGAGGUAACGGCUCACCAAGGCGACGAUGGGUAGCCGGCCUGAGAGGGUGGACGGCCACACUGGGACUGAGACACGGCCCAGACUCCUACGGGAGGCAGCAGUAGGGAAUAUUGCGCAAUGGACGGAAGUCUGACGCAGCGACGCCGCGUGAGCGAUGAAGGUCUUCGGAUCGUAAAGCUCUGUCCUUGGGGAAGAAGGUCUUCGGACUUGACGGUACCCAAGAAGAAAGCCCCGGCUAACUACGUGCCAGCAGCCGCGGUAAUACGUAGGGGGCGAGCGUUGUCCGGAAUUACUGGGCGUAAAGGGUGCGUAGGCGGCCCUUUAAGUCGGAUGUGAAAGCCCGCGGCUUAACCGCGGAAUGGCAUUCGAAACUGGAGGGCUUGAGUGUCGGAGAGGGUAGUGGAAUUCCCAGUGUAGCGGUGAAAUGCGUAGAUAUUGGGAGGAACACCAGUGGCGAA
rnacentral:rRNA from 1 species